UCAUUGCGCCGAAAAGCCCGGAGAAGCCCAAUUUGGGCCGAUUUUGGGAAGCUAGGAUCGUAGCUUCUGGGCUUUUAUGCCCUUUCGGAGCUUCCCCAUACGGGUGCGAUUUCUCUUACGGAUACACAAAUGAACAGUAACCCCCGAUGCUAAACCCCCAAACCCCUCUCAUUCGCACACUCGAGACUGCUUCGCUCAUACUUCCCACAGGAGAUUACAAAUCAUUUGGUGCUCAUGAAUCUUGCGGCAGUGGUAGCUUGUUAUUCGGUGAUGGUUUGCACAGUCGCAUGAAUACGACUUCAUGUGGGCAGAUAAUUAUACACCGGACGAACCUCAAGUGCAAAUCAUUGAACAACACAACAAUGGUCAUGACAAUGCAGACUAUAAGAAGAAGCAUGCUGUUGCUCUUGGAGUAUGUGUGCAUGUUGUAGACUAUAUCACUACCUCUGUGUUCAGCCUCAACAUUGAACAUGAUCAGACCGGGCUUUGCACACAGCACCUACUAUAAGGGGGGUUUAACAUUAAUGGGAUGCAACUUUGGCCAGGUUAGACCGAACCCAAACCAAAAAGAAAGUUACACUGGAUUAGGUCGGAUUGGGACCGUUGGGUUAUGGUUAUGCCAAGUAACCAGAGUUGAUCCGAACCAACGAUUAUUACAGUUUUUUUGGUAAUAAGAAACUUAGAUUGCGUUAGAAAAAGGAGGAUCAUUACAACUUAGGGAUCUCGUUGAUCCAUUUGCCACCCAUAUCAGAAUUGCUUCUGUGUGAAGACCACACUCUGUAAUUCCUUUAUGGGCUAAUUUGUGAGCCAGAAUAUUGACAGUUCUGUUUACAUACACAAUAGAGAAAUUAGAAUCUUCACAACUUGCUAAAAUGUCUUUGCAAAAGAAAUAAGUUUCUUUUGUCGAUUCCAUGUUCUUUGAGCUUAGCGCAAGCAUGAGGCCUUAGUAGUCGUUUGUCACCACAAAACUUGGCUAGUUGUACACCUUUUAAGGUUGCCAUUGCUUCAGCUUGUAGCGGGGAGCUGCUUUGACAUGGACCAAAACUGACUGCCAAAAUGUCUCCAAGAUGGUCUCUAAUAACUAUUCCAAAAGUUGCUUUCUCUAUUCCUUCAAAGCUGCCAUCAACAUUAAUCUUCACAAAAUUUUCGUUUGAGGCCUGCCAAAAAAAGUUUUGCUUGUUUGAGUCAUGGAUUUACGAAGAAUUUUGCCAUCUUGGCUGCAAAAUCUUCACCAAAACUUGGCUAGUUGUACACCUUUUAAGGUUGCCAUUGCUUCAGCUUAUAGCGGGGAGUUGCUUUGACAUUGACCAAAACUGUGCCAAAAUGUCUCCAAGAUGGUCUCUAGUAACUAUUCCAAAAGCUGCUUUCCCUAUUCCUUCAAAGCUGCCAUCAACGUUAAUAUUCACAAAAUUUUCGUUUGGGGCCUGCCAAAAAAAGUUCUACCUGGAGUCAUGGAUUUACGAAGAAUCUCGCCAUCUUGGCUACAAAAUCUUUAUCCUCUCCUUCCAGGAUCUGUGGGUCAAAUUCAAAGUAAUAUUUGGGUCAGGAUGAAUAUUUUCAAAGAUGAAUUUGUUUCUACUCUUCCAAAUUGACCAUAGAAUCUGAGUAGUGAAAUUUAGAAGUUCUUCUUUUCUUGAUUUAUCUAGGGAGCAUCUGUCAACCCAAUUAUUUAGCCAAUCAGGGAAAGCUGAGAAAGAAAAAUUCUGAUCUAUUUUGUGACUGAAGAUGGAUCCGAACCAAGUCAACUUAGCAUGGUCACAUUGAAAUAAAGCAUGAAGGAUUGAUUCUUCUUUAAUGCCACAUAGUGGACAAAUUGGACAGUCAGUCAGGUCUUUCUUGAACAGAUUUUCUUUCACAGCCAAGGCAUUCCACGCACAUCUCCAUAAAAAGUGUUUCACUUUUGGGUCAAACUUUAACACAGAUUUUUUUUUUUAUUAUUAUUAUUUCUCUGAUCUGCUUGAUUGGGGUUCAAGAAAUUCCUGAAAUUUAGACUUCUUUGCUAAGAAAUAAGUAGAUUUAACAUUGAAAUUCCCAUUUGAUGACCCAAUCCAAAUGAACCUAUCCUCCCAGUUCCCACUAGCUAGAUUUAUCUUAAGGAUUUGAUUGAUUAUUUGUUCUGAGAAAUGGCUCCUCAGACUACUUAGAUUCCAGCAUCUCCUGUCUUGGUCAAUCAAAUCACUAGCCCUUCUUGGACCAUUUGGUCUGGGUUCAAGCCCUAACAUUUUGAAGUUUGGUAGGUCUUUUACCCAUGGAUCUUCCCAAAUUUUGACUUUUGCUCCCAAGUUGACUUCCCAACAAGCUCCCAAUUUUAAAAUUUCCCCUCCUAGCAAACUUUGCCACCCGACAAGCCUUUUUUUUUGCAAAUUGUCAUUUAGGAAAUUCUUCCCUUUCAAAUACUUUCCUUUUAUUA